UAGAUUCAAGAAACAACAAAAAUUACAAAUGUAAAAUUGUGGAAAUUGAUGGACGUGUCCUGAAACCAUCUGUGAAGGCAAUUCCUUCCAUUUCAUCAUUUAGUAAUUUUAAUUAUUCUCAACAUGGUUUGACAGUUUUGAAAGCAUAUGGGAUUGGAAAUGGUAAGCUGAUCAAAUGGGAUCAAAUCUAUGACUGUACCAAGAAAAUGUCAGUGUGUCUUAAAGUUGUUGAUUUCUCCGAAAACAUAACUUUUACUGAUAUCAAGGUAAAAUAUUCUGAAGCCAGACAGGGCUUAAGGGAAAGUAACAAUGAGGAAGAGCAUUGUAGUGAGGAGGAAGAUGGUAAUCAAGAUAUGGAUGCAGUUGGUGAUGAAGAAAACAGUUUGAAUGAGGGAGGAAUGCUGUGUUGCCCUGUUGAUGGGUGUGUCAAAAGUUUUAUGAAACAUAAGAAUUUGGAAGACCAUCUUUUGAUUGGGAACUGCAAAUUCAAAUUCAAAAAUGAACCUACUCUUGACAUGACAAAAAAAAAUGUACUUGACAAAAGUCACCAGUAAAGUUGAGAAAACAUAUUCUUUGUCAUCUGAUACAGUUGUUGCUAAAGAAAAUAUUACAGAAGGUUGGGCUUUAAAGACAAGAAAACCGCCAACUUUAUUUAGUAAAGAGCAAAAGCUGUAUUUGGAUGAAAAGUUUAAGAUAGGAGAAACAACGGGAAAGAAAGAGGAUCCUAUAACUGUAUCACAAGAAAUGAGAACUACUAAAGUGAAGGGCAAAAGAAGAUUCAAAAUGAGUGAAUUUCUUACAUCACAGCAAAUAGGGAGUUAUUUUUCAAGAGUUUCCAGGAAGAAAGUUGAGGAUAACAUGCCUGCCACCAUAGAAGAACAUUUGUCUAGUGUUAGAGAAGAGAUUUUGACAAAACUUAAUGAUUAGUUAGUUAAGUUGGAAUCUGUUGUACCAUAUGGAUCACUGUUGAUAUAUAGAUUAACUAUUGUCUCAAAAUGUAAACUUUAUUUGAAUUCAGUUUUAAAACAUGUUGAAUGCAUGGCUUUUCCUAAUAUUGGUCACUUUUUCUAUCCUAUCCUGUAUUGAACAAAAGUUUGAAUUGAGACUAGUCCAAAAAAAAAUGUUUGUUUCCCAACCCAACCAAAAUCAGAAAUAAGCCCCCGGGUAAAAAACAUAUUUUCCACAAAAAAAUAUAAAUUAUUUUCAUAACAAAAGUAAUUCAUUUCCAUUUUUUAAAAGGGCUUGAAAGCAAAAGGAUUGAUAAUCUAAAUAAAUAUACUCAAAUUGAGCACAAACAACUGAUAUGUGGCCCAGACUGGACAAGUCAAACUUUCAUGUGACCAUGCUAUGACAUCCAGUUAAAAAAAAUAACUUGCCUUGCUGGACUGUUUACAAAGAGUUGACCUGGGGGAGGGGAAACAAACAUUCUUUUAAAUGUGACCCUAGUAUAAAAAAAUGAUAUGUGUAAUUUUUUUUAAUAAUGUAAUAUAAGACCUACAACAUACAAUAUUUUGUGUAGAUAAAAUCAACUUUGAUAUUGAAGUGCACAAAAUUAGGCUACCAUGUAUUCUUUAUAGAUAAAGCAUUUAUAAAUGUUAGGUGUUUUUGUAGUAUGGAUUACAGUUUAAGAAACCUUCUAAAAGUUUUAAGUUUAGAAGAUUUCUGUUGUUAAGGAGUUACUUUUGUCUCAAUAAAAUAAUUUUCAAAUUUGAAUUCAAAGAUGGGGGAAAUAUACAUAUUUGGUGUAUCAACGCAUGUAUAUUAUCUUGGUUUGGGUUUUCUGACCUUGGCCUCAUUUUCUUGAAUCAUGUACACGCACACAUAGUAUAUGACUGAAUUAAACACUGCAUGUAUGGAAAAGAAGAAUUGAAGAAUAAACUUCAAUGAGUAGUGUAUUUGAAAUUUGAAUAAGUCCAUAGUCAAUAGAAUAUCAUCAAAUUAGGAGGCUAUCUUAGAGUAAAUUUUAAUAGCAAUUCAUCAGGAAAACUAGUCAGGGUAAUAAAGUUAUACCAAUAUUAUACCAUUAGAUCAGAAACAUCAGUACUAUGAAGUUAUAUUUGAGGAAUUGCUGAUAUAUGCGUAAAAAAUUUGUUAUUAGAUAGUAACUUCAUGUUUUUUGUAAAAAAAAAAGGGGGUGGUAUACCGUUUUUUACAACAUAUACCUCAAUAAUGUGAUAAUGCCCCAAAAGUUUUUAUUCAUAGAUGUAUUGAAUAAAGUAAGCUCUUAAUAACCUUCAAGUCAUUUAUGGUCUACAUUUCUGCAAAAAAAAGGUUUGAGGGUCCAAACUUGAUCAAUUUUGGCUAAAUUUGACAUAAUCUUUAAGACCAUAUUUUGCGCCAUGCAUAUUCAAAUAUGAUAUCACAUAUUGCAAAGUAUCUUAAUGUUUUUUUAUUAAGAAUAUAAUGUUUGUCUUCAUUAAAGUUUUGUAUUUCAUCUUGAUUGCAUAAAAACCUGAUUUUAACCAUAUUCAAAAUGUCAGUUUCAGUUUUAUUUUUUGUCAUGGUUGCUAGGGAAAGUCUUGUCCAUAGCAACAAUAAAGAAUUUACGAUAGAA